UGGCACUCCACUCGUGACUUCUUUCCAGGAUGAAGAGGAAGCAUUGGUGAGCAUCUGCAGGGUUUGUUCACUUAGCCAAUUACAGAUCCACCUAACCGUACUUUUGCCUAACCCACAUUUGACUAGUUUGUUUGCCAGAAGGUCAUGGGGGACCUUGUUGAAGGCCUUACUGACAUCCAAAUAAAUCCACAGUGUUCCCUGCAUCUACUCAGCCUGUAAUGCUACGGAAAAGAGAGAUUAGAUUAGUCUGGCAUGACUUGUUUUUGUGAAAUCCAUGUUGACUAUUAGCAAUGACCGCAGUCCUUUCUAAGUAUGUGCAGACCACUUCCUUAACAAUCCUUUCCAGAAUCUUGCCUGGUAUCACUGGCACAAAACUGGAAUGAACCCAUUGUACCAAGGUUGAUGAAAAUAACAUCGAGAGAUUGCUAGCUAUUGGUGGGUAUUACACUUCAAUAAUUAGGGGCGGGUUAAUUUUGGGGAGGACACAGACCAUCAAUAGGAUGCUCACAAUUUUGUUUAAUUGAAACCUUUGUUGCAGGUUCAAUGCAGGUUUACCUCCCUCAUGUCAUAAAGGUGUAAAGUGCUACAAGAUUCCUUUGCUCACCUGAAUAUGAAACAGGAAAGAGCAGAAGAGGAAUCAUGUCAUGCAAAAUAAAUUCUUAUCCUGCUGCAAUUGCGAUUUACCUGCCUUGUAUGAAAAACUUCAUAGUCUGGAAGAAAGCUGGGAGAAUUGGUUAAUGAAGCCAUCCAGGCAGCCAACUGCAGAUAUAUACAACUUUCUGUUCAGGGUGUCUCUGGGUCACGGGCACAUGUAAGAGCUUCCAUCUAUCAUCCACAAUCCCCAACACUCUGGUACCACAAGAUGCAGAGCCAAUCUUCAGUGGAAUCCACUACAAUGCAGCCUGAGCUCUGCCACAUGCACAAUGGAGAACCUUCUUGCAGCGACACCAGAGGAACUUGAAGUGGCCAGCUUCUGGUCAAAGAAAAUUUAGCAUAAUGUCAAGUUUUUAAGCUUUGUGGUUUUUAUACAUGAUAACUGUAAUUUCAAUUUGUUUCUGACACAAUAAAUAAAUACCACUGCAUAUGCUGAAUGUGUAUAGAAUGGGUGUGUAUAUCUGUGCUUGUAGUAAGUACUAGAUUUUGGGUAUCAAGCAUUCCGAAUACAUUCUGAACAAAAUGCUAUAUAUAAUUAUAUGUAUAUGGGGCCAGGUUGUGGUGCAGGCUGGUUAGCAGCCAGCUGCAAUAAAUCACUCUGUCGAGGCCAGCCUGUGUUGGGGUGAGCACCUGACAAUUAAAAAUAAAAAUAUAGCCCCUGCUCGUUGCUGACCUAAGCAACCCGAAAUAUAGUUGCAUCUAUCAAGUAGGAAAUUUAGGUACCACUUAUAUGUGGGAUGUCUAAUUUACGACACCAUAAAAAUCAUCCAGCCGCUGUUGGAAUGAGGAAGUUGCCUUCACAGUGGAUGAUGAAGCAGCUGCUCCCCCUGUGGCCGGAAUCAAGCAUACCCUCAGGAAGCUAGAAGCUGGAGAAGGUUUAAAUUGCCUCUGCGUCUGUCUCUGUCUCUGUCCUAUGUUAUAUAGCAUUGAAUGUUUGCCUUAUAUGUGUACAAUGUGAUCCACUCUGAGUCCCCUUCAGGGUGAGAAGGGCGGAAUAUAAAUACUGCAAAUAAAUAAAUAAAUAAAUAAAAUGUUCAAG
rnacentral:lncRNA from 11 species